CCUACGGGAGGCAGCAGUGAGGAAUAUUGGUCAAUGGACGAGAGUCUGAACCAGCCAAGUAGCGUGAAGGAUGACUGCCCUAUGGGUUGUAAACUUCUUUUAUAUGGGAAUAAAAUGUUCCACGUGUGGGCUUUUGUAUGUACCAUAUGAAUAAGGAUCGGCUAACUCCGUGCCAGCAGCCGCGGUAAUCCGGAGGAUCCGAGCGUUAUCCGGAUUUAUUGGGUUUAAAGGGAGCGUAGGUGGUUUGUUAAGUCAGUUGUGAAAGUUUGCGGGUCAACCGUACAAUUGCAGUUGAAACUGGCAGUCUUGAGUACAGUAGAGGUAGGCGGAAUUCGUGGUGUAGCGGUGAAAUGCUUAGAUAUCACGAAGAACUCCGAUUGCGAAGGCAGCUCACUGGACUACAACUGACACUGAGGCUCGAAAGUGUGGGUAUCAAACAGGAUUAGAUACCCCUGUAGUC
rnacentral:rRNA from 1 species